CUUUUUCCCCUCUCCUCUGAUUCGCACGCUGCCUCGCGCGGUGGUUCUCGCGGCUCCCGCGCCGGCCGCCGCCGCCACCAUCCCGCCUCGCCGUCGCCGGAGAUCCUCGCCCGCUGCCGGUACACUCCCCGCCAUGGACGGAUCUGCCCCUCUGGGGGACGGACGGCUGGCUUGGGGCACCGACAGCGACGGCCCGAGCCGGACCAGGCCGCCGCCGCGCCUGGCCGGGGCGCCGCUGCCUCGCAGCAUCUCCGGCGACGGGCGCCCUCCUCGGCUCGGGCCUCCUGGGCGCCGACAGUGGCGGCGGGUUCGGUGGCAGCAACCUGGUCACGUCUGGCAACGGAGGGGACCGGUCCGGCAUCGAGAUGCAUUACAAGAAGACGAUCGAAGAGGACCCCUGCGACGGCAUCUUCUUGAGGAACUACGCGCAGUUCCUCUACCAGGUGAAGGGGGAUUACCGGAGGGCAGAGGAGUACUACUCCCGCGCGAUCCUCGCCGACCCGGACGACGGCGAGCUCCUCUCGGAAUAAUGAUGGGGUUAUUGUGAACCCAAAAUGCGAGAUGAAAGGAUCUGCUAUCACUGGACCUUUGGCCUAGGAUUGGGGAAAUUCAGAGUUUUGUGUGCUCCUUAUUUAGGUCUACCUGAUGCAGUUUUGUACCUGAACAUCUAUUGUAAUGUACUUGCGAGUUAUCUGUUUCUGAAAUGCUAUAUGAUAAUUGAACUCAAGUGGAAAGUUUCUGAAAUGCUAUAUCGAGUUGUCUGCCUUGGGCUCGGACUCCA